rnacentral:rRNA from 1 species
GCAACUCGACUCCAUGAAGCUGGAUUCGCUAGUAAUCGCGCAUCAGCCAUGGCGCGGUGAAUACGUUCCCGGGCCUUGUACACACCGCCCGUCAAGCCAUGGAAGCCGGGGGCGCCUGAAGUCCGGGACCGCGAGGACCGGCCUAGGGCGAAACUGGUAACUGGGGCUAAGUCGUAACAAGGUAGC